CCCUUAGAUGUUCUGGGCUGCACGCGCGCUACACUGAAGCUAUCAACACGUUUUCCCUCCCUGAGAAGGGCGGGUAACCUUCUGAAUCAGCUUCGUGGUAGGGAUCGGGGCUUGCAAUUGUUCCCCGUGAACCAGGAAUUCCUAGUAGACGCGAGUCAUAAGCUCGCAUCGAUUAAGUCCCUGCCCUUUGUACACACCGCCCGUCGCUCCUACCGAUUGAGUGGUCCGGUGAGGCUUUGGGAUCUGAGCGGAAAGAGCGUUUCGCUGUUUCUGCCCGGAAAACUCAGUCGAACCUUAUCAUUUAGAGGAAGGAGAAGUCGUAACA
rnacentral:rRNA from 1 species